rnacentral:rRNA from 1 species
GACGAACGCUGGCGGCGUGCUUAACACAUGCAAGUCGAACGGAAAGGCCCUGCUUUUGUGGGGUGCUCGAGUGGCGAACGGGUGAGUAACACGUGAGUAACCUGCCCUUGACUUUGGGAUAACUUCAGGAAACUGGGGCUAAUACCGGAUAGGAGCUCCUGCUGCAUGGUGGGGGUUGGAAAGUUUCGGCGGUUGGGGAUGGACUCGCGGCUUAUCAGCUUGUUGGUGGGGUAGUGGCUUACCAAGGCUUUGACGGGUAGCCGGCCUGGGAGGGUGACCGGCCACAUUGGGACUGAGAUACGGCCCAGACUCCUACGGGAGGCAGCAGGGGGGAAUAUGGCACAAGGGGCGGAAGCCUGAUGCAGCAACGCCGCGUGCGGGAGGACGGCCUUCGGGUUGUAAACCGCUUUCGCCUGUGACGAAGCGUGAGUGACGGUAAUGGGUAAAGAAGCACCGGCUAACUACGU